rnacentral:rRNA from 1 species
UAGGGAAUCUUCCACAAUGGACGAAAGUCUGAUGGAGCGACGCCGCGUGAGUGAAGAAGGGUUUCGGCUCGUAAAACUCUGUUGUUAAAGAAGAACAUAUCUGAGAGUAACUGUUCAGGUGUUGACGGUAUUUAACCAGAAAGCCACGGCUAACUACGUGUCAG